AUGGAUAUCCUUAAUAGUUGUAUAAACCGGCUUGCCAAAAUAUAUGCUAAGUGUAUGAAAUCUAAGAUUCUAAAUAUACUUGUCAAAACAUAAAAAAGAAAACAAUUGAAGAACAUAUUCAAAUACAUAUACAAAUAAAGGCUGAAUAAAUAAUUGGACUAAACACAAUAAACUCAUCAACAAUUCACUGCAAAUGAAUAAUAUACAAUAAAUUAAAGAGAGAAAACAAAUCAUUAUAUGAAAUAUGGAAGGGAUAUAUAAGCAACCACAGAAAAAAUAAUAAAUCACACACCUUUAUUACUGUUUGAUAAGAAAUAAUUAAUUCAAAUUGCUCAAUUAGCAUAAGCAAGUAAGCACGCAACAAUAUCAAUGGUGGUAAACAACAAAGGUGUUUGGUAUGAUCCAAUCUAUGCUUUUCCAACGAAACAACUAAUUGUGUGCCAUAUUAAGAAACAGAUAAAAUACCUUAAAUUUGUUAUAUUCAUUUAGAUGAAUACUUUAUACAAUUACUAGGGAUAUUUAUGAUAUUUUUCCCUACUUGUGAUUUUUCACCGUACUUUGCAAUUUGUUAUUAAAUUAAUUUAAUCAUUAAUUGUAUAUAAGGCAUUU
rnacentral:lncRNA from 1 species